rnacentral:rRNA from 1 species
UACAGAGGUCCCAAGCGUUGUUCGGAUUCACUGGGCGUAAAGGGUGCGUAGGCGGUCGGGUAAGUCUGACGUGAAAUCUCCGGGCCUAACCCGGAAACUGCGUCGGAUACUAUCCGGCUAGAGGAUUGGAAGGGAGACUGGAAUACUUGGUGUAGCAGUGAAAUGCGUAGAUAUCAAGUGGAACACCAGUGGCGAAGGCGAGUCUCUGGACAAUUCCUGACGCUGAGGCACGAAAGCCAGGGGAGCGAACGGG